rnacentral:lncRNA from 1 species
AAUGAUUUAAUAAAAAAAAUUUUAAGAUAAUAUUUUAUAACAUUUUAUAUAAAAACAAUAAUAAAAAUUGGUUAUUUAUGAAGAUGUUAAAUAAAAAAUGAUUAAUUUCAAGAAUUUGUGAGAUCUAAUACCAUAUAUAAUUUUUAUUUCUUUAAUAUGAUAUAUUAUAUUUGGCUAUACACAAAAUAGUGCAAUAUUGUUAAAUUGAGUAUCAUUUAUUAUUAUUUAAUCAAAGUAAUAUUAUCAUUCUUAUUAUUAUUAUUUUUUCUUUUUUUAUAAAUUAAUGGUAUAAUAUUUUGUAUAUUGAUAUUUUAUGAUAUGGAUUGGUUUAUCAUAUGUAUUGUAAAAUGGUAAUAUAUUAUGUGAAUUGCUAUUAUGUGGUGUAAAAUGGCAUCAUGUGAAUUGAAAUUGGUGUUAUGCGUUGUGAAUCGGUAUUAUAUAAUUUUUAAUUGUUUAAAAUUGUGUAAAGUAAUAUAAUUUCUUCAGAUUAUUGUAAAAUAUGGAAUUGAUUCAAUUAUAUUGUUAAAUUGUUGAAAGUUAUCUUUGUUUAGAAAAAAAAAAAAAUAAAAAUAAAAAGAAAUAAUAAAUAAAUGAUAGCUUUAUGCUAUGUUUGGUGUUGCUAAGUUAACUAAUAAUAAAAUUAUGUGCAAUUUAAAUGGUGCAAUAUAAUACAUAAGAAUAACAUAAUAAUAUAUGGUUUAAUUUAACAUAAUAUUACUAUUAUUAUAAUAAUUAAUUAAUUAUUGCAAAUAAACACUAACAAUUACAAUAGUGUGAUAAUUUGGAAAAGUAUGUGUUGAGCUUGGUUGAAUUGAAUUGAGUUGCGUUGAGUUGAAUUGAGUUAUGUUGUGUUGUGUUGUGUUGUAUUGUGUUAUGUUAUGUUAUGUUAUGUUAUGUUAUGUUAUGUUAUGUUAUGUUAUGUUGUGUUGUAUUAUGUUGUGUUGUGUUGUGUUGUAUUGUGUUAUGUUAUGUUAUGUUAUGUUAUGUUAUGUUAUGUUAUGUUAUGUUAUGUUGUGUUGUAUUAUGUUAUGUUAUGUUGUGUUAUAUUGUGUCUUAAUGCGUUAUGUUGUGUUAUAUUGUAAUUUGUUGAAAUAUUUUCUAUUGUUAUGCUAAAUUAAUUGGUUCUAUUUCAAAUUAUAUUUCAUUACAUAAAAAGAAUAAUUCUAAUAGAAGAAAAGAUGGCCAUUAAAAUGAAUGAGGAAUUUUAUUAAUGAACAUUUACUUCAAAAAUUCGAAACCUUUGUUAAUAAUUAAUAAUAAAUAUAAUUGGAAAUAAAAAAAAAGUGGGAAUUUUUUUUUUUUUUUAAAUAAGAAUUUCAUAUAUAGAAUAUGAAUCUACGUGAUUAAGAGGUACGAGAACUAAUUAUAUAUAUUUAUUUAUUUAUUUUUUAUAAUAAAAAAAGACAAUCAAGAAUAA